UGCAGUCGAGCGGAUGAAGGGAGCUUGCUCCUGGAUUCAGCGGCGGACGGGUGAGUAAUGCCUAGGAAUCUGCCUGGUAGUGGGGGAUAACGUCCGGAAACGGGCGCUAAUACCGCAUACGUCCUGAGGGAGAAAGUGGGGGAUCUUCGGACCUCACGCUAUCAGAUGAGCCUAGGUCGGAUUACCUAGUUGGUGGGGUAAAGGCCUACCAAGGCGACGAUCCGUAACUGGUCUGAGAGGAUGAUCAGUCACACUGGAACUGAGACACGGUCCAGACUCCUACGGGAGGCAGCAGUGGGGAAUAUUGGACAAUGGGCGAAAGCCUGAUCCAGCCAUGCCGCGUGUGUGAAGAAGGUCUUCGGAUUGUAAAGCACUUUAAGUUGGGAGGAAGGGCAGUAAGUUAAUACCUUGCUGUUUUGACGUUACCAACAGAAUAAGCACCGGCUAACUUCGUGCCAGCAGCCGCGGUAAUACGAAGGGUGCAAGCGUUAAUCGGAAUUACUGGGCGUAAAGCGCGCGUAGGUGGUUCAGCAAGUUGGAUGUGAAAUCCCCGGGCUCAACCUGGGAACUGCAUCCAAAACUACUGAGCUAGAGUACGGUAGAGGGUGGUGGAAUUUCCUGUGUAGCGGUGAAAUGCGUAGAUAUAGGAAGGAACACCAGUGGCGAAGGCGACCACCUGGACUGAUACUGACACUGAGGUGCGAAAGCGUGGGGAGCAAACAGGAUUAGAUACCCUG
rnacentral:rRNA from 1 species